ensembl:lncRNA
CAUUCCCACAUGUUACAGUAGAAGAUACUCUAGAACUGUACAAGGAUAAAAAGGUAACGUGUAGUUUGUCCCAAGGUGUCUGCCUCCUCACCCAGAGCAAGACCUCCACCUCCUCACCCAGAGCCAGACCUCCACCUCCUCACCCAGAGCCAGACCUCCACCUCCUCACCCAGAGCCAGACCUCCACCUCCGGUCAGAAGUCCUCCAGAACAGCUGAAAGGCGAGGCUGAGAGGCUGGGGACCGGAGGCUUGUGGUGCCAGGGUGGACCGGAGACUGAGGCUGGAGACCAGGGGCCUGCAGCACCGGACCAGAGGAACGUGUUUCUGGAGCGGAGGCGAGCUGCUAACGGAGCCGUGAAUCUGGAGGAUGACAUCACUCUACCAACCAGGGUUGUAAGUUUGUAUUAACCAAACAAACUGGAAAUAAAGGGCUUAAAAAUAAGACAAACUACAUGUUUGUUACCAGUCUUUAGGGCCAGACUCGCGCUGUUUGUUCCAGACCACGACUCGGGCUGAGGAGAGCUGAUGGAGGAGCCAAGACUCUGGAGGACGACAUCACUCCACCAACCAGGAUCCUCAGACAAAUUACGUUUGUAACCAGACCAGGAACCUGGAGGACUGAUGGAGAAGCUGUACAUCUGGAUGGCAAAUCCUGAGGACCACCAGAACUCUACCAUCAAGGAUUCCUCAUAAAUGUGCAUUAUCUGGACAUAGUGGACUAGACACACCUGAGCUGAACCUCACCUGAUCCUGUUUGGUCGGGGGUAGACGCACCUGAGCUAAACCCGCCCUGAUCCUGACAUCCUGCUGGUCCCGUCUCCUCAGUUCAUCUGAGCCUCGUCCUCCAGAAGACCUGCUGAGCUCAGCAGUCUGAGGCUGAUGAAUCAAUGACCU